AUUUAUAAGUUAUAACCGCCUUUAUAUAUUUUUUAUUUUUAAUAUUACAUGUUAAUUCGAUGCAACAUGUAUUGGAAUUGACGGUACAUUGAUAAUUAUACAAUUUAGAUCCAUCAUACAAUUUCGAUAAAAUUGUAUACGCUGCUUAUUCGAUGCAUUUUUGCACAAAAUGAACAAAAAAGUAUGGCAGAUAAAAGUUCUACUCUAUCUUGCGAAGCAAUAAAUUUAUCGUUAAAGUUAAAACUAACAGAUAUGUAUAUUAUCAAAUCUAUUAUUGACAAAAUAUAUAGCGAUAUGUUUCUUGUUUUGAUCUGCACAACUACAUAUUUUUAUAUUUAAAUAAUGUAUUUCUUAAGUAAAUUUAAAGAUAAUUUAUUAUUCGGGCUGCUAGUUUUACAUACAUUUCUGCAAAAGUCACAUAGCAUAUGUGUAAAUCAUACAAUAUAUAAAGGCAGUUAUAAACUUAUAAAUAUAAUUUAUAAAGACGUAUCAUAUUAAAACUAAUUUUAUAUUACAGGAUUCUGCCAAUUAUUCUUACAUCAUUCGGACAACUGUUCUUCUUAAAAUUUAAAAGAACGCAAAGAAUAACUGAAGUUUAUAAAAGUUGAAGAAAUUUUCACAAGGAUUAGAACAGCCUGCGACCACAUCAUCGGCAGAAAACUGAACUCAAAUGGAAGCGCACUCAUGUCACUAUCAUGUCCUGACAAUUUCGGAUUUUAUAAAACUAUAGGAGACGUGAUUGACGUUGAGAUUGUGAUUGACAGUUGGAGCAAAGCUAUAAUUUAGUUCAACAUUACGUGAAGUUUAUUUAAUGUUUUUCUCUUAUUUUCCCUCGUUUUUUAUGUUUUUAAAAAUUAUUUUUAAAAUAUAUUUACUAAUAAUCAUAAAGUAUAAUAUGUAUACAUUUGUUUAGAUAUAAGUUUAUUUUGUUGAUAAAUAUAUGUGUUAAAUAUAUUAAGAAGUUUAUUGAAAAGACUAUUUUUAAUGUUAUCUUUUUCCUUUUUAAUUAUAUCUAUCCUUUAUAAUUUUAGCACUUACAAUUUUCAGGAAGUCAAGUUCUUAAAUUAAUUUUACAUAAAACAACGAAAUUGCAUUCAAAAGUAUUUUUUGUUUUAUGUAAACUUAAUUUAAGUACUUAACCUCCUGGGAAUUAUGUGCUGAAAUAUAUACAUGUACAUAUAUAACAACACUGUAAUUAUUUUUUAUAACAGCAAUAUAAUAGUUUAUAUUGCCAUUACAAAACAUCUCGAUUAUAGUUAUAUAACAGUUCAGUUCUACGCUAUAUUUAUGUUAUGUAACUACAACAUCACAUGAGUAGGAAAUUAUAACUAACAGGAAUGUUACAUGUAACGUUCAUGUAAUAUUACCUGUUACAUUCCGUUUUAUUGCAGCAAUGUAAUGGUUAUAUAUUGGUGUUUGCUGGGUAAGCAUGUACUGUGAAAA